rnacentral:rRNA from 1 species
GCGGGUAUCGACCCUGCUGUGCCGUAGCUAACGCGUUAAGUAUUCCGCCUGGGGAGUACGGCCGCAAGGCUAAAACUCAAAGAAAUUGACGGGGGCCCGCACAAGCGGUGGAGCAUGUGGUUUAAUUCGAUGCAACGCGCAGAACCUCACCUGGGCUUGAAAUCCUCGGACCGCUAUAGAGAUAUAGUUUUCCACUUCGGUGGACUGAGUGACAGGUGCUGCAUGGCUGUCGUCAGCUCGUGUCGUGAGAUGUCAGGUUAAGUCCUAUAACGAGCGCAACCCUUGUUGCUAGUUGCCAGCAUUAAGCUGGGCACUCUAGUGAGACUGCCGGUGUCAAACCGGAGGAAGGUGGGGAUGACGUCAAGUCCUCAUGGCCCUUAUGCCCAGGGCUACACACGUGCUACAAUGAUCGGUACAAAGAGCAGCUAACUCGCGAGAGCAUGCAAAUCUCAAAAAACCGACCUCAGUACGGAUUGGAGUCUGCAACUCGACUCCAUGAAGGUGGAAUCGCUAGUAAUCGUAGAUCAGCAUGCUACGGUGAAUACGUUCCCGGGCCUUGUACACACCGCCCGUCACACCAUGGGAGUUGACUACUCCAGAAGUCGUUGAGCUAACCCGCAAGGGAGGCAGGCGCCCAAGGAGUGGUUGGUAACUGGGGUGAAGUCGUAACAAGGUAGCCG